UAUUGCACUUAUCCUGGCCUGU
rnacentral:miRNA from 3 species